GACGAACGCUGGCGGCGUGCUUAACACAUGCAAGUCGAACGAAGUGGCGAACGGGUGAGUAACGCGUAAUCAACCUGCCCUUCAGGGGGGGACAACAGUUGGAAACGACUGCUAAUACCGCAUACUGAAGGAGGGGAUUGCGUCUGAUUAGCUAGUGGGCGGGGUAACGGCCUACCAAGGCGACGAUCCGUAACGGGUCUGAGAGGAUGAUCAGUCACACUGGAACUGAGAAACGGCCCAGACUCCUACGGGAGGCAGCAGUGGGGAAUAUUGGACAAUGGGCGAAAGCCUGAUCCAGCCAUGCCGCGUGUGUGAAGAAGGUCUUCGGAUGGUAAAGCACUUUAAGUUGGGAGGCGUUACCAACAGAAUAAGCACCGGCUAACUUCGUGCCAGCAGCCGCGGUAAUAC
rnacentral:rRNA from 1 species